rnacentral:misc_RNA from 1 species
GUGCAGCUGGAACUACUCUUCUGAGCUAUAAGCAUAUCUAUUUAGUCCCGUCAAACGGAUUAUUAUUUUUGCUGCAGCUAACGUAAAGGAAAAGUAGAUCCGCUAUGCUGACUGAUGCAGGAAUUAGCAGUGAACGUCUCUUUGAGGCGCUUACUGUGAAACUCGAUCUCAAAUCAAGUAAGACUACCCGCUGAACUUAA